rnacentral:lncRNA from 1 species
GUAUAUAUGAUAUAUACUCAAGGAAAUGGUAAAGUACCAUUUGACCCGAAAUAAUGAAACCUUAAAUAGCUAAUUGGUAGCUUAAGGUAACUACAAUCAAAAGGAUGGUUGACUUUGAAGAAACCAUCUUUGACGUAGUCUUGGUUUCAAUUAAUUCGAAGAUAGCUAGCUACAACUAAAUGGUGAUUCAAUGUUUGGACAUAAUAUGGGUUUCCGAAACCAUUAUUAAGAUAGUCUUGAUAAUAUAUGUCUAAAACUAUGAAUCACAAGACAUGUAAGUUGUAGAGAUCCAUCCAUCAUGAAUCUAAGCAAGCUAGUGGGAGCUAUGAGCAUCUUAUGAGAAAAGGAUCAAAUCGUUUGAUUUCUCAUAAAGAUGUAAAUGAAUCUUUUGUUUACUAGGUUUACAAAAGAUUAGUGGGAGUUAAUCAUGUUCCUAAAAUUUAAAUAUAUAUGAUAUAUUAAUUUUGGAAAUGAAAAGAAUACUUCUUCAUUAAAGUUAUGACUUUAAAACAUUAUAUGAAGAUAGAAUGUAUAUGGGAGUUAAUCAUGUUCCUAAAAUUUAAAUAUAUAUGAUAUAUUAAUUUUGGAAAUGAAAAGAAUACUUCUUCUUUAAAGUUAUGACUUUAAACAUU